CCACCCACGUAGCACGGCCUCGGCUUGCGCCAUGGGGGGGUUGACGAGUCACACGCGGUCGACUCAGCUUCAAAUGAGUACCUGGGGUGGUGUGUAAACAUCACCACUGGGGAGACAAAGGCGGCAGGGCAUAGUGUUGGCCACCCACCCUCUUGUGUGCCGUGAUGGUCCUUCAUACGGUGCUCGAUAACAGCAAUUGCCCCAAAGAUAAUCUUUUUCAGCCUCGGCUGAUAAGCUACACUUGGCGAAUUGCACGAAUGAGGAAACGUCCAUGAUGCUCUAGGUUGGUGCACGUACCAACUGCCCAACCGCCAUUCACAACCGGCAGUCAAACGCAAGU